rnacentral:rRNA from 1 species
CAAGACCAAAGAGGGGGACCUUCGGGCCUCUUGCCAUCAGAUGUGCCCAGAUGGGAUUAGCUAGUAGUGGGGUAACGGUCACUAGCGAGAUCCCUAGCUGGUCUGAGAGGAUGACCAGCCACACUUGGAACUUGAGACACGGUCCAGACUCCUCACGGGAGGCAACAGUUGGGGAAUCAUUGCCCAAUUGGGCGCAAGGCCUGAUGCAGCCCAUGCCGGCGUGUAUGAAGAAGGGCUUCGGGGUAUGUAAAAGGUCACCCUCNUCCAGGCGGGGGCGCACGGGAAAGCGCNGCUCCGCUGGCCUNAAAUUAAACCCAACCAAGCGAAACUCUCGACGGUCAACCCGGCAGAAAGCAAACGCCCACCGGCCUAACACUACCCGCGAUGCCACAGCGACACGCCGGGGUCAAUAACCGGACGCGGUACGCCAAGCGCGUACAACACUACCGGGAAAACUUACCACCUCAGGNGGGNCCGUAACACAAAGAGCGGCAACUUGCCACAGGCACGGGGCACCCCAGGGCACCACAACGCUCAUCGCGGAAAUCGGUCGCGACACAAGUCCCCCCCCGAGCGCAGCUCNUCCAAAACCCCAGGGCG